rnacentral:tRNA from 1 species
GGAGAGUACAGCUCAGUGGUAGAGCUUGUGCUUAGCUUGCACAAGGGCCUGGGUUCAAUCCUCAGUACCUCCA